rnacentral:rRNA from 1 species
UACGGGGGGGGCAAGCGUUGUUCGGAAUUACUGGGCGUAAAGGGCUUGUAGGUGGCCAACUAAGUCAGACGUGAAAUCCCUCAGCUUAACUGGGGAACUGCGUCUGAUACUGGAUGGCUUGAGUUUGGGAGAGGGAUGCGGAAUUCCAGGUGUAGCGGUGAAAUGCGUAGAUAUCAGGAGGAACACCGGUGGCGAAGGCGCCUAUCUGGCCCGAUACUGACGCUGAGGCGCGAAAGCUAGGGGAGCAAACGGG